GCCACUUUGGUAGCAUGAACUACAAUUGGCAUGAUACAGAGAAGAUUAGCAUAGAGCCUGCACAAACUGAAGCAUUCCGUUUUUAU
ensembl:snRNA U6 U6 spliceosomal RNA